GAUGAAGAACGUAGCGAAAUGCGAUAAGUAAUGUGAAUUGCAGAAUUCAGUGAAUCAUCGAAUCUUUGAACGCACCUUGCGCCCUUUGGACAUUCCGAAGGGCAUGCCUGUUUGAGUAUCAUGAACACCUCAACUCUCACGGCUUGUCCGUGAUGAGCUUGGACUUUGGGGGUCUUGCCGGCCUGUGGUCGGCUCCUCUCAAAUGGAUCAGCUUGCCAGUGUUUGGUGGCAUCACAGGUGUGAUAACUAUCUGCGCUUGUGGUUUUCCAUCAGAUAACCCUCAGUGAUAUGGAGGUUCGCUGGAGCUCACAAAUGUCUCUCCUUAGUGAGGACAGCUCUUUGAACGUUUGAUCUCAAAUCAGGUAGGACUACCCGCUGAACUUAAGCAUAUCAAUAAGCGGAGGA
rnacentral:misc_RNA from 1 species